rnacentral:rRNA from 1 species
CACACUGGACUGAGACACGGUCCAGACUCCUACGGGAGGCAGCAGUGGGGAAUAUUGCACAAUGGGCGCAAGCCUGAUGCAGCCAUGCCGCGUGUGUGAAGAAGGCCUUCGGGUUGUAAAGCACUUUCAGUCGUGAGGAAGGCGGUGUCGUUAAUAGCGGCCUCGUUUGACGUUAGCGACAGAAGAAGCACCGGCUAACUCCGUGCCAGCAGCCGCGGUAAUACGGAGGGUGCGAGCGUUAAUCGGAAUUACUGGGCGUAAAGCGCAUGCAGGUGGUUUGUUAAGUCAGAUGUGAAAGCCCGGGGCUCAACCUCGGAAUAGCAUUUGAAACUGGCAGACUAGAGUACUGUAGAGGGGGGUAGAAUUUCAGGUGUAGCGGUGAAAUGCGUAGAGAUCUGAAGGAAUACCGGUGGCGAAGGCGGCCCCCUGGACAGAUACUGACACUCAGAUGCGAAAGCGUGGGGAGCAAACAGGAUUAGAUACCCUGGUAGUCCACGCCGUAAACGAUGUCUACUUGGAGGUUGUGGCCUUGAGCCGUGGCUUUCGGAGCUAACGCGUUAAGUAGACCGCCUGGGGAGUACGGUCGCAAGAUUAAAACUCAAAUGAAUUGACGGGGGCCCGCACAAGCGGUGGAGCAUGUGGUUUAAUUCGAUGCAACGCGAAGAACCUUACCUACUCUUGAC